CAAAUUUCAAAGGUCUGUAAGCAUCAGAAUAAAAAUACAAUUGUUUAAAUUCCUGGUAUAUUUUGUCUCCUUUCCUAGGAGCGAAUCUCUUGAAAGUUCUCUCCUUCGUCACAGGGUCUUCCUCAAGCUUGUAGUCGUUCAUUCGCUCACAGACUUUCUGCAAAAGGUCCGUUAGGAACGCCUCCGACUGGGCUAGGGGGAUCUAAGAAGAAAGACAGGGCAAGGAAACUUGUCUUAAUGUUAAUGUUACUUCAAAGACCUUCCGGCGAGUCCACAUGGAAACGCCACACUCUCCCUGAAUGCAAACGUGUGCCACUUCCCUAGCACGGGCACAGAAGACGGCACCGCAGAUCGUUAUUACAAUGUAACAACGACCUGCUUUACAUCAUUACGGGGCUAGCGUAAAUUCCAGUUUUUUAAAAGUGUAUAUAUUUCAAAGUGGCCAGAAAAAAAAUACAUUCAAACUAGAAACUAUACCUCUACAUAGAAUCAUGUUUAGAAAUCACUGAGCAUGUAGCAAAAAGCAUGACGCAUAGAAAAUGGCAGUUAUUAUCCAUCUACUUGUCAGAGAGAGAGAGGAGAGAGAGAGGAGGGGGAGAGAGACAGAGAGAGGGAGAGAGAGAAGGAGGGAGAGACAGAGAGAGGGAGGGAGAGAGAGCGAGAGAGAGAGCGCGCGCUCAGCUGGCUUCAGAUCCCCUUAGUCGGGGAGAAGUUGGGGAGGCCCAAAGUCUGGCCCUCCCCGGGGCUGCCCUUGGCUGCGCGUCCCCCGCGCUGCAGCCGCGCGAUGGCCCGGGCUGGGGUGGACACGGGGCUGGGAGAGGAAGGGGCUCACGGACGGGCGCCCCAUCUCCCAGGCGGGCUCCUCGGCUGCUUUCUUUGGGAACAGCUGGUGCACGUCCCCGCGCGCCCCUCUCCCUCCGGAAUUCGGCGAGGAUUCAGCUGGACCCUUUGGCCACCACCUCCGCCCCGGGCGCGGGUCAAAGAGCACCCCUCGCCCUUGGUAACGGAGACAAAACGUUCGGGGCCGUCUAGACAGGUCAAGGUGCAGGAUGCGGCGUCCCCGCGGCUCCUUCCGGAAGGGGGCGUGGAGCCGCCAAGGGCGCCGGACCGCGCCGCAGCCCGGGCCUUUGCGGGCUUUUUCCCUCUCCACCCUCUGCUGAUCAAAGUAGGAAGUUUGCAUGACAACCGCAGUGAAAGGGGCUGAAUCACAAAUGAACUCGAUUUCUGCAGUGUUGAUCUAUCCAGCCUCCAUUGUCCCCUUUCAGGCGCAGUAUGAACCCUUCCGGUGCCAGCGGCCGCGCUACAUUCACAGGCGCGCUCGGGGCGCACAAAGGGUCUCCGCGCUUCACCGCCAUCUGGCCACAAAUCUCAUCAGCGGCGCGGCGGCGUCCCCUUGAAAGCGCGGGCGGAGGGUGCGCCUGUGUUCUUGAGACCCAGGUUCCAUUACAAACCACCCAGCAUCGCCACCGGCGCCCCCCGUUUCAAUAAGGAAGCCACUUUGUCAAAACAUUCUAAAAGAAACUUGGGAAGAGGACACGUCAGAGAAAUACCAACGCCGAUUAACUAUCAGCUGCGCCUCCCCUGUGCACAGUUUUCUGCCCAACAAAGAUCUGCAUGUUUC
rnacentral:lncRNA from 1 species